UCGGGAAUUUUGGGCAAUGGGCGAAAGCCUGACCCAGCAACGCCGCGUGAAGGAUGAAGUAUUUCGGUAUGUAAACUUCGAAAGAAUAGGAAGAAUAAAUGACGGUACUAUUUAUAAGGUCCGGCUAACUACGUGCCAGCAGCCGCGGUAAUACGUAGGGACCAAGCGUUGUUCGGAUUUACUGGGCGUAAAGGGCGCGUAGGCGGCAAUUCAAGUCAUCUGUGAAAUCUCCGGGCUUAACUCGGAACGGUCAGAUGAUACUGCUUUGCUAGAGUGCAGAAGGGGCAAUCGGAAUUCUUGGUGUAGCGGUGAAAUGCGUAGAUAUCAAGAGGGACACCUGAGGUGAAGACGGGUUGCUGGGCUGACACUGACGCUGAGGCGCGAAAGCCAGGGGAGCAAACGGGAUUAGAUACCCGCGUAGUCCCUGAGCGGGCUGGCAAGGCGCAU
rnacentral:rRNA from 1 species